rnacentral:rRNA from 1 species
UGGGGAAUUUUGGACAAUGGGCGAAAGCCUGAUCCAGCAAUGCCGCGUGUGUGAAGAAGGCCUUCGGGUUGUAAAGCACUUUUGUCCGGAAAGAAAUCCUUGGCUCUAAUACAGUCGGGGGAUGACGGUACCGGAAGAAUAAGCACCGGCUAACUACGUGCCAGCAGCCGCGGUAAUACGUAGGGUGCAAGCGUUAAUCGGAAUUACUGGGCGUAAAGCGUGCGCAGGCGGUUUGCUAAGACCGAUGUGAAAUCCCCGGGCUCAACCUGGGAACUGCAUUGGUGACUGGCAGGCUAGAGUAUGGCAGAGGGGGGUAGAAUUCCACGUGUAGCAGUGAAAUGCGUAGAGAUGUGGAGGAAUACCGAUGGCGAAGGCAGCCCCCUGGGCCAAAUACUGACGCUCAUGCACGAAAGCGUGGGGGAGCAAAACAGGAUUAGAUACCCUGGUAGUCCACGCCCUAAACGAUGUCAACUAGUUGUUGGGGAUUCAUUUCCUUAGUAACGUAGCUAACGCGUGAAGUUGACCGCCUGGGGGAGUACGGUCGCAAGAUUAAAACUUAAAUGAAUUGACGGGGUCAUAGCUGUUUCCU